rnacentral:rRNA from 1 species
UACGUAGGGUGCAAGCGUUAAUCGGAAUUACUGGGCGUAAAGCGUGCGCAGGCGGUUGUGUAAGACAGAGGUGAAAUCCCCGGGCUCAACCUGGGAACUGCAUUUGUGACUGCACAGCUGGAGUGCGGCAGAGGGGGAUGGAAUUCCGCGUGUAGCAGUGAAAUGCGUAGAUAUGCGGAGGAACACCGAUGGCGAAGGCAAUCCCCUGGGCCUGCACUGACGCUCAUGCACGAAAGCGUGGGGAGCAAACAGG